AUUACUCUCAGGCCAACGAGGUGGGCAGGCCUGCUGCUAGGUGACCGAGUCCUCUUUGGCGGUUUUAAUUUCCCCAGCAACUUGCUCGCCUUCUGCUGUAGCUGAAUCUGGCGCGUAAGAUUCCUGGCGGCCCAGGCCCACACCAAGGGUUAAUGUGAGAUGGCACAGCAUAGGAGACUGAAGUGUGAAAGAAGUCAUAAGAAGGCUUCCUGAGGACUUUGAGGCAACAGAGUGUUGCGUUAAGACCUGACCAUGAGGCAUCAGGCCAUGCCUGCGGAGCCGUGGACAAACAUGAAGCAGUAGAACAGGGAGAACAUGCAGAAGAGAAACCGAGUCGGUGGAUGUGGGCGAGAAGAAACCUGACAACUCACCUGUUUCCAGAAGAGUCAGUUGAGCCAAGAUGGAAGUGAGGGGUUUGUCAGGUAGAGUAAAAGGCAUCAAGGUGGUUUCACAUCGAUGGCUGGACAUUUCACAUUGAUGGAGAUGUGGGAGAUGGAAGCUGGAAGAACCUGCCCACUCCCCAAGAGUAGCUGAAUUGUUCAGUGGGAGCAUCUGGCACUGCCACUUGGAACUGGUUUGAAAUAUAUCCCUGGGAAGCCCUGAAAGCUACUCUGAUGUCGCUGAACUCAUGCCCUCAGAAUCAACCUCCAGGAGACCUCACAAGUUCCUCCCGGAAGAAGUGGUCAUUCAAAUCCUGCCUCUGACUGUGACAGAUCUGUCUGCUUCCAAUCACAGACUCUCUCAUCUAUACCAUCUAACAUAGGCUCCAAGCCCAGGGAAUGUCACUGCCCAUAGCUACAGUGUUUCUUCUCAUCUCAAUGAACUAAUCAAGAUAGUGUCUCACAGGCUCAGCCAGAGACUAAUCUCACUCAGACGGCCUUCAUAGAUGUUCUCGUAGGUCUGACUACUAAGUCGUUCUAGAUGCCAUCCUCUUGACAAUUGAUACUGAUGAUCACACUGUGGGUAAAGAUCUAAGCUCAGUUUCUGAGACAUCAGAAGAAUGGGGGAGACACUACUGUGACUGACAAGCAGCCUCGGGAAAAGAGUCAGUUCAGCUGAAUGAAGACUACAGGGAUGAUAUUGCUACCUACAGAGGAAGACCUGAUGCAGUAUCAAAGGAGAUGUCAAGAUGGACAUGAGCAAGAAAAAGAAGGAACAGGAAGGGGCUGAGGAAGGUGAAGAGAAACAAAAUGAUGGCAAUGAUUAAGUUCUUACACAGUUUUUCUCCUUGUCUAUAAAGCAUUUAAAUCUCCUUAUAACUCCCUUCUUUUAAGGAAAAAAACUGAAGUGCAAGGUUGUAUAGAUUUGUUUUUAAAGUGUAUAGUGUCUGGUUUUUGUGUAGUUAACACUACUGAGUGUCUUUAGAUAGCUCUAUCCUGAUGGUGCCUCAGAAAUGGUAUGUUGUUGGUGCACAGCACAUGUUAUUUACAUGUGGAGAUGGUAUCCUCAUUCCUCUUUCUGUUCUCUGGUCUUGUUCACAUGAAAAUAAUUCUUCUGUGAACUGAGUAUCACUUUGUAAUUAGAAAAGUGAACUGCUGCUAUCUCAUAGGCAUUCUCAAGGUUUUUAAAUAAAUACACAUUUUUAUUAGAA
rnacentral:lncRNA from 1 species